rnacentral:rRNA from 1 species
AGCGUAGACGGACUGGCAAGUCUGAUGUGAAAGGCGGGGGCUCAACCCCUGGACUGCAUUGGAAACUGUUAGUCUUGAGUGCCGGAGAGGUAAGCGGAAUUCCUAGUGUAGCAGUGAAAUGCGUAGAUAUUAGGAGGAACACCAGUGGCGAAGGCGGCUUACUGGACGGUAACUGACGUUGAGGCUCGAAAGCGUGGGGAGCAAACA